UGUCUGGAGGGGAGACCUGGAAUUACUAAAGCCAUCUUGCCGUCAGCCUGAGAGGGAACAGAUGCUGGAGGAUGGCAGAGCUGAAAGAUGGAUCACUGUAUCUGCUGUGUGAAAAACAGACUGGGGAGGCUGGAAGGGGCAAGGCCAGAACCAAGGAGACUACUUAGGAAACUAUAGCAAGAGUCAAGGUCUUAGGAGGAAAUACCUAAGAAGAGGUGAUUAAUUACUGUCUGAAAAGUGCUUUGAGAUCCUCUGAAGGAAG